rnacentral:rRNA from 1 species
CGCUGGAAACGGCGUCUAAUACUGGAUAUGAGACGUGGCCGCAUGGUCAACGUUUGGAAAGAUUUUUCGGUCUGGGAUGGGCUCGCGGCCUAUCAGCUUGUUGGUGAGGUAAUGGCUCACCAAGGCGCKACGGGUAGCCGGCCUGAGAGGGUGACCGGCCACACUGGGACUGAGACACGGCCCAGACUCCUACGGGAGGCAGCAGUGGGGAAUAUUGCACAAUGGGCGGAAGCCUGAUGCAGCAACGCCGCGUGGGGAUGACGGCCUUCGGGUUGUAAACCUCUUUUAGCAAGGAAGAAGCUUUUGUGACGGUACUUGCAGAAAAAGCGCCGGCUAACUACGUGCCAGCAGCCGCGGUAAUACGUAGGGCGCAAGCGUUAUCGGAAUUAUUGGGCGUAAAGAGCUCGUAGGCGGUUUGUCGCGUCUGCUGUGAAAUCCCGAGGCUCAACCUCGGGCCUGCAGUGGGUACGGGCAGACUAGAGUGCGGUAGGGGAGAUUGGAAUUCCUGUGUAGCGGUGGAAUGCGCAGAUAUCAGGAGGAACACCGAUGGCGAAGGCAGAUCUCUGGGCCGUAACUGACGCUGAGGAGCGAAAGGGUGGGGAGCAAACAGGCUUAGAUACCCUGGUAGUCCACCCGUAAACGUUGGGAACUAGUUGUGGGGUCCUUUCCACGGAUUCCGUGACGCAGCUAACGCAUUAAGUUCCCCGCCUGGGGAGUACGGCCGCA